AUUGAACGCUGGCGGCAUGCUUUACACAUGCAAGUCGAACGGUAACAGGGUGCUUGCACCGCUGACGAGUGGCGAACGGGUGAGUAAUGCGUCGGAACGUGCCGAGUAGUGGGGGAUAACGCAUCGAAAGGUGUGCUAAUACCGCAUACGUACUGAGGUAGAAAGUGGGGGACCUUCGGGCCUCACGCUAUUCGAGCGGCCGACGUCUGAUUAGCUAGUUGGUGAGGUAAAGGCUCACCAAGGCGACGAUCAGUAGCGGGUCUGAGAGGAUGAGCCGCCACACUGGGACUGAGACACGGACCAGACUGCUACGGGAGGCAGCAGUGGGGAAUUUUGGACAAUGGGCGCAAGCCUGAUCCAGCCAUGCCGCGUGUCUGAAGAAGGCCUUCGGGUUGUAAAGGACUUUUGUCCGGGAGCAAAUGCUGGUGGCUAACAUCCACCGGAGCUGAGAGUACCGGAAGAAUAAGCACCGGCUAACUACGUGCCAGCAGCCGCAGUAACAC
rnacentral:rRNA from 1 species